UCUCAUCUGCGGUACAUAAACUGUAUUUUCCAAAACAAGAUAAAAAUCAGACUCUAAAGUUAACUUCACUACUCCUAUGAAUUCAACCUUCACUUGAAAUCCAUUUGCAACGCUCAAGCUUACUUCAUUCUCACUUGGCCUCCGUUUGCUUAUUAACCCCUGCAAGGAAUUCGCAAUAUGAAUACUAGCUCCCGAGUCUAACCACCAAGAAUUCAAAGGUACAUCUUUCUGCCAGUGACCCUUCUUUUUACAGAACUUGCAUUGAUCAUUUUUCUUUAUAACUCCUUUGGGACCACUAAAAUUUUUAUUCUGUUGACUUCGGUGAGACUUAUUAUCC
rnacentral:lncRNA from 1 species